rnacentral:pre_miRNA from 1 species
AACCGAGGUUUUCCUCAGUAGUUAACUGCAGGUGGUUCUAUUUUUUUCUCGGUAGUUAACUACCGAAGGGUAU